ACGGAAGGCAGCAGUGGGGAAUAUUGGGCAAUGGGCGCAAGCCUGACCCAGCAAUGCCGCGUGAAGGAAGAAGGCUUUCGGGUUGUAAACUUCUUUUAAGUGGGACGAUAAUGACGGUACCACUUGAAUAAGCCACGGCUAACUACGUGCCAGCAGCCGCGGUAAUACGUAGGUGGCAAGCGUUAUCCGGAUUUACUGGGUGUAAAGGGCGCGUAGGCGGGAAGGCAAGUCAGAUGUGAAAUCCAUGAGCUCAACUCAUGAACUGCAUUUGAAACUGUCUUUCUUGAGUGUCGGAGAGGUAGAUGGAAUUCCUAGUGUAGCGGUGAAAUGCGUAGAUAUUAGGAAGAACACCAGUGGCGAAGGCGAUCUACUGGACGAUAACUGACGCUGAGGCGCGAAAGCGUGGGGAGCAAACAGGAUUAGAUACCCUGGUA
rnacentral:rRNA from 1 species